rnacentral:misc_RNA from 1 species
AACGCACCUUGCGCCCUCUGGUAUUCCGGAGGGCAUGCCUGUUUGAGUGUCAUGUAGACUCAAUCCCUCGGGUUUCCGAGGAGAUUGGACUUGGGCGUUGCCGCUCUGCCGGCUCGCCUUAAAAGACUUAGCGGGAUAGCACCGUAGUCGGCGUAAUAAGUUUCGUCGGUGAAGGUUGUGAUGACUGCUUACAAUCGCCCUCGGGCAAUUUUUGACUCUGACCUCAAAUCAGGUAGGACUACCCGCUGAACUUAA